UGGGGAAUCUUGCACAAUGGAGGAAACUCUGAUGCAGCGACGCCGCGUGAGCGAUGAAGCCCUUCGGGGUGUAAAGCUCUUUCGACGGGAACGAUAAUGACGGUACCCGGAGAAGAAGCUGCGGCUAACUACGUGCCAGCAGCCGCGGUAAUACGUAGGCAGCAAGCGUUGUUCGGAAUUACUGGGCGUAAAGAGUGUGUAGGCGGUGCUCCAAGUCUGGUGUGAAAUCUCCCGGCUCAACUGGGAGGGUGCGCUAGAAACUGGAGUGCUAGAGGGUGGGAGAGGUAAGCGGAAUUCCUGGUGUAGCGGUGAAAUGCGUAGAUAUCAGGAGGAACACCUGUGGUGUAGACAGCUUACUGGACCAUUUCUGACGCUGAGACACGAAAGCGUGGGUAGCAAA
rnacentral:rRNA from 1 species